rnacentral:tRNA from 1 species
AAAGUAUUAGUCCAAAAAGACAGUUGAUUUCGACUCAACAGAUUAUGGUUCAACCCCAUAAUACUUUU